GUUCCCUUCGGGGGGCGAGUAUAGCGGCGAACGGGUGAGUAACACGUAGGUAACCUACCCCGGCGUCUGGGAUAACCUGUCGAAAGGCGGACUAAUACCAGAUAAGACCACGGGGGCCUCGGCCCCUGAGGUAAAAGAUGGCCUCUGCUUGCAUGCUAUCGCUCCGAGAUGGGCCUGCGCGCCAUUAGCUUGUUGGUGAGGUAACGGCUCACCAAGGCGGAGAUGGCUAGCUGGUCUGAGAGGAUGACCAGCCACACUGGGACUGAGACACGGCCCAGACUCCUACGGGAGGCAGCAGUGGGGAAUCUUGCGCAAUGGGCGAAAGCCUGACGCAGCGACGCCGUGUGGGUGAUGAAGGCCUUUGGGUCGUAAAGCCCUGUCAGAGGGGACGAAAUCUUGUCGACCUAAUACGUCGGUGACUUGACGGUACCCUCAGAGGAAGCACCGGCUAACUCCGUGCCAGCAGCCGCGGUAAUACGGAGGGUGCAAGCGUUGUUCGGAAUUACUGGGCGUAAAGCGCGUGUAGGCGGCCUUUUAAGUCUGAUGUGAAAGCCCGAGGCUCACCCUCGGA
rnacentral:rRNA from 1 species